rnacentral:rRNA from 1 species
UACGUAGGGUGCAAGCGUUAAUCGGAAUUACUGGGCGUAAAGCGUGCGCAGGCGGUGAUGUAAGACAGAUGUGAAAUCCCCGGGCUCAACCUGGGAACUGCAUUUGUGACUGCAUCGCUGGAGUACGGCAGAGGGGGAUGGAAUUCCGCGUGUAGCAGUGAAAUGCGUAGAUAUGCGGAGGAACACCGAUGGCGAAGGCAAUCCCCUGGGCCUGUACUGACGCUCAUGCACGAAAGCGUGGGAAGCAAACAGG